AAUGACAGAGGAUGAAGCCAUUCUGGUUUGUGUUCAGUUAAUGAUAUAUUUUACUGAAAAAGUCACUUUUUCUUCAGUUUUCUUUGUUUUUGGUAUGAUAACCCUCAAAUAUAAUCUCGGCAUGAUGAUUAAACCAGAUGAUCAGUAUAUUAAACAUCAGAAAAUAACAGAUUUUCACUGAAAAAAAAUGCAAAAUAGAGAGGAUAAUGUGAUAAAGGAGAUAAAUCAUU